AUUGAACGCUGGCGGCAGGCCUAACACAUGCACGUCGAACGAGUGGCGGACGGGUGAGUAAUGUCUGUGAAAUUGCCUGAUGGAGGGGGAUAACUACUGGAAACGGUAGCUAAUACCGCAUACCAUCAGAUGUGCCCAGAUGGGUUUAGCUAGUUGGUGGGGUAACGGCUCACCAAGGAGACGAUCCAUAGCUGGUCUGAGAGGAAGACCAUCCAAACUGGGACUGAGACACGGUCCAGACUCCUACGGGAGGCAGCAGUGGGGUAUAUUGCACAAUGGGCGAAAGCUUGCUGCAGCCAUGCCGCGUGUAUGAAGAAGGACUUCGGGUUGUAAAGUACUUUCAGCGGGGAGGCGUUACCCGCAGAAGAAGCACCGGCUAACUCCGUGACAGCAGCCGCUGUAAUUC
rnacentral:rRNA from 1 species